UCUCUCUUUUAUCGCUGUAUCGAUAUCGUUUCGACGACAAGAAAUAGGCUAGCUUGCUCAAUUUCGGAUGAUUGUCUGUGCAACCAUUCGUAUACUUUUGAGGGCCGUAUUACGUCAUUGCGACUUCGCAGUGAUGUGAUUUUUGGAUGACGUAGUCAUGUCUGCAUGUGGGGGUUAGAAAUUACAUAUGUAAAUAUUGUUGAGCCAGGCCAACUAGAAGUACUUGCGGCGCAUACUUCAGGAGACCCGAUAAGACCAUAUAAAUACAGAAAUAUAACGUUAUCAGUAACUUAUAUUGCGAGUCUAACUUCUGAACUUCGUACCAGUAACGGGAGCUAUCUCAACUAAUCUUGAUUUGCCAAACUUGCCAAAAAGAUUCUGUACAGGCUAUUGCUGUAUUGGGCUUAUUUAUCUGUUUGGUGAGUCGAGCGGGAACAAUUUAUUUUUCUUUCGUGCUUAACUUGGAAUUACACAAUUUUAACAGCUAUCAUACAUUUUGUUAGUAGCCUACUGAGCACAUAACUUUCUAUUCAGGAUGUUGAUUUUCUUGAAAAUGAAGAUGAUCACAGUAUUGGGACUUACAAGUCUGCAAGUAGAUAAUAGCAGAGGAACUAAAUGAGAGAAAUAUAGCAGAUGAGCAGUGCUGCAGUGAACAACUCAUAGGAUGUUGAUUUUCUUGAAAAUGAAGAUGAUCACAGUAUUGGAACUCACAAGUAGCUAAUAGCAGAGAAACUAAAUGGGAGAAAUAUAGCAGAUGAGCAGUGAACAACUGAUAGAUUGUAAGUCCAUUCCAAUGAUGAACUCUGGAUCAUCACUAGAUCACAGUUCGAAUGGAAGCUUUAAUUACACAAAAGCAAUGGCAGUGAUGGACUCUUUGUUACAGGAUUUUCAAUCUACAAAUACCAGGUAGCAGAAAAGCUUGACAUUCAUCACAGCAUGCCUACUGCUCCUGCCAAAUGAAGAAUUCCCAUUCAAAAAACAAAAAAGGCGUAACUUGACUUUCUCAUUACGACUGUAUUUAUCUGCGACCUUUAGUAGUCAAUUUCGCCAAAUAUUUACUGUUUUAAUAAAUUGUUUAAAUCUUGAAAA